ensembl:lncRNA
CCAAAAUAACAAGUCACAGGAUGCCUGUCUAGAGGGUAGCUUUGCUGAAAAUAACCUGGAGACUGAACAGAAGUCAGCAGUGUGUCCUUGUGCAUUAGAAGAUAACUCUGUGCUGAGCCAAGGGCAUGCUGGACAUUAAUGAUUCUUCCUCAUUGUUCAGUUAUUGUGAGAGCAUUAUCUGGAGAACUCUGUGAAGUGUUAGUUCCCCAGUACAAGAAAGUCAUUGACAUGCUGGAGCAAGCUGGUGCAAGGAAGAUGGUCAAACAGAGGAAAACUCACCCAGGAAGGAGGCUCUGCCCUUCAAGAUAUUCAGUACAUAAUUGGGAAACCACCUGGAAGUUCCUCUCUUCAAGAUGUCCUGUCAUUCCAAAGGCAAACAGGGACAACCACUUAAUUAACAGCAAUUUUGGUUCGUCUAUGAAUUCUAAAUCUCAAAAUCACUGUAAGCCAUGGUGUGGAGGAAGUGAUGUGCUGCUUCUCCCUCUGUAGAGCAAGGUGUUCCUGUCAAAAUCACAGCUUCAUCAUGAGGGCUUAUGCUUAAAACCAUUGGAUGCUGCACUGGAUUUCAAGAUUCUCCUCUUCAAGAUCACCUACUUUGCACAGCCUUAUUCUGUAAAAAGAAAAAGAGAGCAAGAGACAGAGAGGAAUGUGCCCAGGACUCUGUGGUACCCAGGUCAGACAAGCCCAAAAAUCUCUUCCCGGGCUCUGCUCCAAUGAAUAUUUAAUCAUUCUAUGCAGAGUGUGAAAGAUGGCACGAGAAAGAUUUAGGCUUCCAGCCUAGAAAAAUCUGGCACCUUCUUAUAAUGUGGUAAAUACUGGGCAAUGAAAGGCUUUGAAGCCAGGUCUCCUCUCUCCCAGAGGUGUGUUUCAAUUGCAAGGCUCCUGAAGAAAAGCAGAGUUCCUCUUCUUUGCCUUCGUCAUCCUGUAGAGAGAAAAUAAAGAGGCUAAGUUUGCCUCACUGGAGCCAGAGAACAAGCUAAGUGUUCUUCUGUCUAUCCUGUGAAUCCUGAUGGGAUUUUAGCUAGAACUGAAAAUCCCCAGAGUUCAGGCUCUCGGGAUAUGUGCUGAGCAAAAUAUUACGGUGCUUAUGGUGCUUAAGUCACAGCUUACAGUGACUAAAGACUUAACCUGUGGAAACUUUGGAGUACUUUGAUAUGAUAUUUGCUAACUGUAUCAACUCUGUUGUUUGGAGGAAAUACCUUUUUGUACACUCCCAGUGGAACACUAACAAACUUUGAUCCUUCUGCAACUUUCUGUUUAUGGCAUAUUCAGGUAAUUCAAUUUCUGCUCAUUUUCUGUUCAUUCAUUCAAAAAAAAAAAAAAAAGUCUGUUAAAAUUCUUUUUGCUGACUAAUUACUAGAUCAAAGAAGGCCUGUUUACAAAAUGGAAAGCUUCCCAAAAAACAUUUUUGUUAGGGUUAAUGCAUGUAUGCAUUUUGAACAAAUAAUUUUAAAUUUUGGACAGCAUACUCAGAUUUUUGUUGUCCCAUUUUGUAAUAGAAUUUGAUUAAUUGUCUAAGAUAGUAUUUUUCUAAAUUAAGUAGAUUUUUUGUAGAAUCAUAUUGUUAAAACUGGGGAAAAGACUAAAAUUUGCAUCUUUUUUUUUUUUUUUUUUUUUUACCUAAACACAACAGGUGACUGUGAGAAUGCAAAGGGAGUUAAUAGGCAUGCAUAUUCAUGUUUUAGCUUUUUGAAAAAUAAGGUAUUGUUGUUAUACUCUGAAGUUUGGUGGC